rnacentral:rRNA from 1 species
CGUGUAGGCGGGCAAUCAAGUCAGAUGUAAAAGGCGACGGCUUAACCGUAGUAUGUCAUCUGAUACUGGUUGUCUUGAGUCCGAGAGAGGGUGGUGGAAUUCCCGGUGUAGCGGUGAAAUGCGUAGAUAUCGGGAAGAACACCUGAAGCGAAGGCGGCCACCUGGAUCGACACUGACGCUGAGGCGCGAAAGCGUGGGUAGCAAACA